rnacentral:rRNA from 1 species
UACGGAGGAUGCAAGCGUUAUCCGGAAUGAUUGGGCGUAAAGCGUCCGCAGGUGGCUAUGUAAGUCUGCUGUUAAAGAGUCUAGCUCAACUAGAUAAGAGCAGUGGAAACUACAUGGCUAGAGUGCGUUCGGGGCAGAGGGAAUUCCUGGUGUAGCGGUGAAAUGCGUAGAGAUCAGGAAGAACACCGGUGGCGAAGGCGGGUCUCUGGGCAGUAACUGACGCUGAGGAGCGAAAGCGUGGGGAGCGAACAGG